UAAAAAGAGGGAUAAGAGAUUAAAUUAGGGUUCGGUAUGCGACCCUUCGUCUUUCUCCCCCAAAUCAGACUCUCCUCUUCCUCUGCUACAACGGCGACGGCGCACCUCCGAUGAAGAUCCUCGGCGCGCCACCGUGAACUCACCCAAGGUCUCGUCUCUCAUCUCAAAUUUCAAUCCACCCUCUUCUGAUUUUAACCCUAACUAGUUAACUCUUUACCACAGAGAAACCCUAAGCAUCGAUACUCCCGGACUCAAGCAUGAUUUUUUUUACGAAAUUGAAGCAAGCAAGACCUUAUCUUAAUCACAGAAGCACGGAUACAAAUCAAAAGCGCGUAAAAGAACCUGUUUAUGGUGGCCCGAGCUUCCGGUGAGUCGCUAUGGCUCAAAGACGAUGAUGUGCUCAAGACUGCUUUAGAAGAGUACUCCAAUUACCCGCUGAAGAUGUUAUUGAUGAUGAUCGUUGCUGUCUUGAGAAGACGAUGAUGCUGCAGUUGAUAGAUGGAUCGAACUGUGAUUGAAGAUUGUGUGAUAUCAUUGAGCGAAAUUGUUGAAGAAGUGAAGGAUGAAGAUCAGAAGGCAGGGAAACUGUUGGAGGUAAAGAAUUCUUUGUUUCAGAGAGAGUGAUGAGACUGAAGAAUGAAGAAGGUGAAGAUGAUGAAUGGUUUAGAAAAAUGGUGAUGGUGAAUAAGAAAAUGAAUGUGAAGGUUAUGGAAGUGAAGGGAGAGUUUGAAGAUUGAGAAUGAAGGGUGAAGAUGAUGAAUGGUUUAGAAAAAUGGUGAUGGUGAAUAAGAAAAUGAAUGUGAAGGUUAUGGAAGUGAAGGGAGAGUUUGAAGAUUGAGAAUGAAGGGUGA